CAUCCCUUCGUGGUGCGCGUUGAUUUGGUCAACGGCACACGGCUGGCCAGCGCAGGUUCAUCCACUGGCAGCCGACUCAUCCCUUCGUGGUGCGCGUUGAUUUGGUCAACGGCACACGGCUGGCCAGCGCAGGUUCAUCCACUGGCAGCCGACUCAUCCCUUCGUGGUGCGCGUUGAUUUGGUCAACGGCACACGGCUGGCCAGCGCAGGUUCAUCCACUGGCAGCCGACUCAUCCCUUCGUGGUGCGCGUUGACUCGGACAACGGCACACGACUGGCCAGCGCAGGUUCAUCCACUGGCAUCCGACUCAUCUCUUAGUGGUGCGCGUUGACUCGGACAACGGCACACGGCAGGCCCAGCGCAGGUUCAUCCACAGGCAGCUGACUCAUCCCUUCGUGGUGCGCGUUGACUCGGGUAACGGCACAUUGCUCACUCAGCGUGAGAUUCAU